rnacentral:rRNA from 1 species
CAAUAGCGUAUAUUUAAGUUGUUGCAGUUAAAAAGCUCGUAGUUGGAUUUCUGCUGAUCGCUGUCGGUCUGCCGUCAGGUGUGUACUGGCAGUGUUUGGCAUCUAUUCGAGAUUGGGUGUCCACUUGAUUGUGUGCACUCGAUGUCGGAGCUAAUACUUUGAGAAAAUUAGAGUGUUCCACGCAGGCGCGUGCCUUGAAUACUGCAGCAUGGGAUAUUGGAAGGCCGAUUGAGCUUUCUUGUUGGUUCUCGGUUUGAUCGGAAUGAUUAAUAGGGAUAGUUGGGGGCAUUCGUAUUCAACUGUCAGAGGUGAAAUUCUUGGAUUUGUUGAAGACAGACUACUGCGAAAGCAUCUGCCAUGGAUGUUCUCAUUGA